rnacentral:misc_RNA from 1 species
GAUGAAGAACGCAGCAAAAUGCGAUAAGUAAUGUGAAUUGCAGAAUUCAGUGAAUCAUCGAAUCUUUGAACGCACAUUGCGCCCGCCAGUAUUCUGGCGGGCAUGCCUGUUCGAGCGUCAUUUCAACCCUCAAGCCCUCGGGUUUGGUGUUGGGGAUCGGCGAGCCUUUCUGGCAAGCCGGCCCCGAAAUCUAGUGGCUGUCUCGCUGCAGCCUCCAUUGCGUAGUAGUAAAACCCUCGCAACUGGAACGCGGCGCGGCCAAGCCGUUAAACCCCCAACUUCUGAAUGUUGACCUCGGAUCAGGUAGGAAUACCCGCUGAACUUAAGCAUAUCAAUAAGCGGAGGA